CUCUGACUGUCUGUAUUCCUGACCCGGCUUGUUAUACGUUCUCUGACUAUCUGUCAUCCUGACCUGGCUUGUUAUACGUUCUCUGACUAUCUGUUAUCCUGACCAGGCUUGUUAUACGUUCUCUGACUAUCUGUCAUCCUGACCUGGCUUGUUAUACGUUCUCUGACUAUCUGUAUUCCUGACCAGGCUUGUUAAACGUUCUCUGACUAUCUGUUAUCCUGACAAGGCUUGUUAUACGUUCUCUGGCUAUCUGUUAUCCUGACAAGGCUUGUUAUACGUUCUCUGGCUAUCUGUUAUCCUGACCCGGC